rnacentral:rRNA from 1 species
CUUAACACAUGCAAGUCGAACGAACCUUCGGGUUAGUGGCGGACGGGUGAGUAACGCGUGAGAAUCUGCCCUCAGGAGGGGGGAUAACGGUUGGAAACGACCGCUAAUACCCCAUAUGCCGAGAGGUGAAAUGAAUUUUCGCCUGAGGAUGAGCUCGCGUCUGAUUAGCUAGUUGGUGUGGUAAUGGCUCACCAAGGCUUCGAUCAGUAGCUGGUCUGAGAGGAUGAUCAGCCACACUGGGACUGAGACACGGCCCCAGACCCC